UAGGGAAUCUUCCACAAUGGACGAAAGUCUGAUGGAGCAACGCCGCGUGAGUGAAGAAGGGUUUCGGCUCGUAAAGCUCUGUUGGUAGUGAAGAAAGAUAGAGGUAGUAACUGGCCUUUAUUUGUACGGUAAUUACUUAGAAAGUCACGGCUAACUACGUGCC
rnacentral:rRNA from 1 species